UACGUAGGGUGCGAGCGUUGUCCGGAAUUACUGGGCGUAAAGAGCUUGUAGGCGGUUUGUCGCGUCGCUCGUGAAAACCGGCAGCGUCAACUGUCGGCUUGCGGGCGAUACGGGCAGACUAGAGUACUGCAGGGGGAUACUGGAAUUCCUGGUGUAGCGGUGAAAUGCGCAGAUAUCAGGAGGAACACCGGUGGCGAAGGCGGCCAUCUGGACCGUUUCUGACGCUGAGGCGGCGAAAGCGUGGGGAUCAAACAGG
rnacentral:rRNA from 1 species